CUGGAGCACUCCUGGAGCAGAACUAGAGGACAGAAGAGAACAUGGACACAGCACAGGCUUCUAGACACUGAGGAUAGAGCACAAAGGAGGAGAAAGAGGAAGACAAAGAGAGGAUAACUUGUCACAGGAAAGACUGAAAGGGAUAAUAGUGAUGGCCGAGGCACCUGAGCAGCAGCAGCAGCAGCAGCAGCAGGAGGAGGAGGAAGAGGAGCAGCCGAGCACUGUGGAGGCGACGGAGGCUGAUGAAGGAUCUGAAGAACCAAAGGAGAGUGUCCAGACGACCCCGAACAGACCUCUGCUGUCCAUGAGGUCCAUCAGCACUGUGGACCCAGAUGACGACUCCCCAAACAUGAUUGUCUACAGAAAGACAUCGCACCAACCGGAUGAUCAAGUUGAACCUUCAUAGACACAUUUCCUCAAUGGUGAGCUGAAAGAAACAACCAGUUCCAGCACGUACAAGCAAAUUUUCUCCACCAAAAAAGAGGAGAAACCUGGAUGAGUGAGUGGAUGUGGCUGACAUUUAUCAGUUGGUCGACUCAUGAGAAGCCAGACACUCAGAUGUCUUGAUAACAGAACUCUUUAGAAGUAAUAUGGUAACUUUAAUUACCUUUUUAAAACUGUCAUUGUCACUGCGAUUUUUCUUACAUUAAUAUUGCCGGUGAGACUACUGCCCCUCAUAUGUUACACAUCUGGAACUGAAAAACAGUGACCACUGUUCAUGUCUUAAUUACAGCCUGCCAACUGUAUUGAAAUGUCUAUUUAUGUCUGUUUAUAUGAUGUAAAUUAAAGCUAUUGAAUAGUAGCAUACACUGAA